rnacentral:lncRNA from 1 species
UACCCGCCAAGCGUUCUCCGCUGGCCUGUGAGAUACGGUCCUCCCUCCACCUCCCCUUCUCGGCCUUCGCGAGUGUGGGUGCCUCGGGGCACUGGCGAGACCCUCCAGGAACAUGAAUGCUGAGGCCAAGAAGAAGAAACAGCCAAAUGAGACAACUGGCAACCCAGAUACAGAACAACUUAGCGGUAGGUUCAAGAAAAGUGAGGUCAAUUUUUAAAAAUUUUAAUUCAAUGUCCAAUUACAAUUUAAUACAUUUUUUUUUUGAGCAGGCAGCAAAUUAAAACAAAGAACAGUAAGCAGAGAGACAUGUCAGGUAAAUUACACAACAGAGGCUUUUAGUGAAACCAUUUUUUAACUUACUGCUUUUCAAAUCAAACUAAAUGUUUCUAAAUGUUUAGGUUAUUUUUAAAAUCGCAAAUCAAGAUUUAUCUACAUUUAGGUAGGUUCUGCUGACUCAUGUCCAAAAGGCUUGGUCCUCUGGAGAGAAAGUAGUCCUUGCUCUUUUUUCAAUUACUUAUUAACACCUAUUACUUGUCAGGAUUUAUGCCAGGUAUCAGGCUAAGAAGGAAUGAGACAGAGCCCCUCUCUUGUAGGGACUGACAAGGAGACAAAAUGCUCAAAAUUUUCUCACCCUCACCAUCAUUUUCCUUCUUACAGUGCCACCAAUCUGAGCUUUACAAGUAAUCAUAUGGUUUCCCUAUGGGGUUUCUGUGUAGUGAUACUUAAUUCAUUUGACCUCUCGAAAGUCCUGCUGUGUUUUCUCUUUUUCUUUAACUUCUUUAACUUUCUUUAACUUUUUUUUUUCCUGAUAUCUUUCUUUGGUGCUGUCACACUGACACAAUGAAGAGCUAAAUCGAGGAGAAGUGUCUGCUCAUCCCUGGUUCUUCAUACUGGGUUCACUGGAAGCCAGAUCACCUCUGUCUGCUGCAGACCGCAAGAGCCUUGUCCUCACAUGGAAGAGACCAUUCAAAAUAUUGAACCUUUCUAUAGUAGAUACCUGACUAGUUGGAGAUGACUUGGGAUGGCCAGACCCAGUGCACCCAGGCUGAACUCCAGCCCUGUCUUAGGGACCAUUUAACCCAACACUUGUUUUACAGAAGAGAUUGAAGGACUUACCUGAGACCAUGUGGUGGCCAGGCUAAGAGUAGAACCCAAGGCUUCUAUGUCCACUCUCUAACCCUCUCCACUGCAGCCUGAGGCCUCAAAACCCUGGUAAGGCAAGUGGGCCAACCCUGGUAAGGCAAGUAAAUAAAUAUCUACUGUUUAUUUGCAAAUAAUUUAUACUUGUAAAUACAGUGUAUUACAUAACACAUUAUAAAGGAUGCAGGGAAAUAGUUAAAAAAAGUUGCCUUGGGAAUUCACACUGUGGCACAGCAGAAAUGAAUCUGGCUAGUAUCCAUGAGGACACAGGUUCGAUCCCUGGCCUUGCUCAGUGGGUUAAGGAUCUGGUAUUGCUGUGAGCUGUGAUGUAGGUUGCAGAUGUGGCUUGGAUCCUGCGUUGCUGUGGCUGUGGUGCAGGCCAGCUGCAGUAGCUCUGAAUUGACCCCUAGCCUGGGAACUUCCACAUGCCACAGGUGUGGCCCUAAAAAGAAAAAAAAAAAAAGUUGCCCAAUAAGUGUGCAAGACGUCACUAUUAUUUUCCUUAAAUCAACCUAAUUCUGACUCCACGUCCCCAUCCUGCCAUUCUUGUGAGAAAGGUAACCAACCACCCUCUUCUCUCCAACCCAUAGGCUCAUGCAGAAGUCCAGAGGUCUUGUAGAAUACCAAGGUCCUGCCUUAUCAUUAUCAUUCACUUAACUAACAAAUAUUUACUGAACACCUACCACAUGCCAAGGACUGCUUUAGGAGCUGAUAAGUAGUGAUAUCCAAAAGAGGUCAAAUCCAUGUCCUCUGUUUCAGGCUGAGCAGGCAUUUCUGUUUCUCACCUGAGGCCCAGGAGGCACACUGGUGAGACUGGGAUGAGGCCUCUGUGGGAAGGUGCAGCCCCUCCCCACUAGAUAGAUGCUGCCCAUUCAGGCACAGCCAGGAGGCAGUGGUAGGUCCCCUCUGGAUGACUCUAUAAUCUUUCCUGACAAGACAUCUCUUCUCCCAGACUUAUCACUUCUCAGAGGCAUCCUCCCUCUGCCCUCUCUCUCCAGAACACCCCUCAUAGUCUCUCAGUGCAAAAUUUUUUAAAAAGAAAAUGCUAUGUUUACUUCUUGUUAUAAAUACACCAGAAUCUUCAGAACAAAAUUGUUUAUAUUUAAUUCAAUUGAGAUUUUUUAACAUUGUGAUAAAAGCACAUGACAUAAUGUUUCCCAUCUUAAUAAUUUUUUAAGUGUUCCCUGGCAAUGAAAGCCAAAGUGCAAAACUUUGACCAGGAGAGGCUGCAUCCGAUUUUUCACCCUGCCCUGAAAUUCUAGACAAAGCAUUACAAAGCCUACACGUCUGUUCUAAAUGGAAGCAAUUUAAUAUUUCGGUCAACCAUCUUGCCACACGAAUAUCAUGACUAUGAAACCAAGUAACAGUGCUGACUUGUCCAUGCUGAACUUUUUAUAUCAAAUUCCUGCUGUAGACAUUUGGUAAACAUGUAAAAGAGUGUGUGUGUUUGGGUGUGCACACAUGCAUGUGCACGUGUGUUCCAUGGCUGGGCCUCAGGAGAGACUUGAAGGCCUCAAAGUUUCUGUCUGGUACCAGAUCAUUGUCCAUUAGCAUCCGCUCCCUCUUUUUGAUUUCUGGGUAGCCCCUGACCCCCACACCACCCCAACUGAUGCCGCCUCUGGGUUCCACCUCUAUCAGCUACCCAAGAAAGUCCCUGAUAAAACCACUCCAGGUAAGGUAUUGUCUGUUCAAGGCCUAAAGAUUAUGUGGGGACAUCUAUAUUGUAACUGGGGACACUGGAGACCAAAUAGCUUCCAAGAUGCAAAGGAGGGAUCUGCAAGGAUAGAAUUUCAUUCAUUGUGACAGGACAAGACUUUUGCAUGGAGGAAUAGUUUUGUGCUUCACUUUCUUAGGGGGAUAAUCAUGUAAUUUUCACAUGUUCGUUAGGCAAUUAAAAAAGAUUUUUCAUCACUCUUUCUCUCAGCAAUGUUAUCUCUGCAGAUGGUAUAAAGCGUUGCUACUGUACCAAGCACUCUGAUUUCUGAGUCUCCCCUGCCCCUCCCAUCCCGCCCCAUGUUCCGUAUCCAAAUAGCUGACUUCUUGCUGGACAUUUCCACCAGGAUGUAUUCUGUACUCAUGGAAUCUCAAAUUCAACGUGUAUACAACCAAAAUUAUCAUCUUUUCCCGCAAACCUAGCCCUUUUCCUGAUAGUUGUUAUUUCUGUUAAUAGUAUUAUACUCCCUAUCCUUUGUGUUUACAAUCUUCAAAUGAUCUCUGGGUCUUCCCUUUUCCUUUGCUCCCCACAUCUGGAUAAUGAGAACAUUCUGUACCCUCGAUCUCCAUAAGAUCUCUCAAUCCACUCCUUCCUUUCCAUCCCCACUGCCAGUCCUCUGGAUCUGGCCCUCUUGAACUGUUGCCUGGACUGUUGGAGUAGCCUCUAAGUUUUCUUCACCUUGGUGUCUGGUCUCUCCUAUGAUGGUCUAGAUCCAUCUUCUUGGGUAAAUUUUUAAUCAUGUUGCAGACAGUGAGGACUGUGUUUUGUUCAUUUUUAUAUCUCAGUGCCUAAUACAGUACCUGGUACACAGUAGGAAUUUUGUCAAGGUUGGAUUAAGUGUACUACAGAAGGCAAUGACUUAUUUGAGUGUCCAAGGCCUGGAGUCAACAUCUUGGAUCCUGCCAAUCAUUCUCCACAUACUAAAUUCCUACUGUAUGGCAGUGUGCAAAUGCCAGACAUAUCCUGGUGAACAAGAUUGGGGUAGUCACUGCGUCGGUGGAGCUACCACUUAAGAAUGAUUUUUUUAGAUCUCACUAUUAGAACAUGCUUCUUUGAUCUGCAGAAUCAAAUUUCUUUUUGUUAAAAAUCAGGAAUUUAUUGUAUUGUUUAUUUUGUGUAUCAGGUUGUGGAAUAAAUCUUUAAACUUAUGGUCUAAAUAGUCUUGUGAUUCUAUUUCACCUAGGAGGUCUGUUGUAAGAAAUAAAAAUUGGGAGUUCCCAUCGUGGCGCAGUGGUUAACGAAUCCGCCUAGGAACCAUGAGGUUGCGGGUUCGGUCCCUGCCCUUGCUCAGUGGGUUAACGAUCUGGCGUUGCCGUGAGCUGUGGUGUAGGUUGCACAUGCGGCUCGGAUCCCACGUUGCUGUGGCUCUGGUGUAGGCCAGUGGCUCCAGCUCCGAUUCGACCCCUCGCCUGGGAACCUCCAUAUGCUGCGGGAGCGGCCCAAAGAAAUAGAAAAAAAAAAAAA